GGGGAUGUGGCUCAGUGGGUAGAGCGCUUGUCUAGCGUGCACGGAGCCUUGGGUUUGAGCCCCAGCACCUCA
rnacentral:tRNA from 1 species